rnacentral:rRNA from 1 species
UACGUAGGGUGCAAGCGUUGUCCGGAAUUAUUGGGCGUAAAGAGCUAGUAGGCGGUCUGUCGCGUCUGCUGUGAAAACUCAGGGCUUAACCCUGAGCUUGCAGUGGGUACGGGCAGACUAGAGUGCGGUAGGGGAGACUGGAAUUCCUGGUGUAGCGGUGAAAUGCGCAGAUAUCAGGAGGAACACCGGUGGCGAAGGCGGGUCUCUGGGCCGUAACUGACGCUGAGGAGCGAAAGCAUGGGGAGCGAACAGG